AGGAGUUCGUUCGUUCUCAUCCCCUCGCUCUGUCUCUCGCAAGCAGAGGCAACGACGGCGGCGGCGUCCCUGGUGGUGCUCGACGGCGGCGGCCCUGACCACAUAACUCAGAUGAGCUAGGUGUUGAAGAUGGCUGAACCAGAGAGAGGUGACCACGUCGUAGUAGACGGCUUCGAUUUUCCUCCUUUGUUUGUUCCCGAGCCCAGGUUACCAAGAUUUCUGUGAAGCACAAGUGCUCCUCUACCGGUAGGAUAAAAAGCAACAUGACAUCUCAAGGAUGGGUAGCACAGAGGACCGUACCCCUUAUACAGAGUGACCCUACAAUUGGAUGCAAAGAGCUGUUGGAGAAUUUGCAAGAUACAUAUGGCACUACAAUUGAGUAUCAUACGGUGUGGAAAGGAAAAGAUAUAGCACAAAAAGAGAUUUAUGGUAGCAUGAGGCAAAGUUUCAAUAUUUGUUUAACUUCAAAGCAGAAGUU